rnacentral:rRNA from 1 species
AAUUAGAUAAAUGUAAGUUGGAAUUGAUGAUCCUAAUUAAAUAUCUGGCUAAAAUUUGUGCCAGCAGCCGCGGUUAUACUGAAAGGUAGAUUGAAAGAAAUUUGGUUAAAAACAGUUAGGUUAGUUAAUUAUUUUUUUUUUUAUAAAUCUGUACUAAUAAAGGGUGAAAUCAAUUUUUUAGUAUACAGUAGAAUAAAAACUUUGAUUAUAGCUGAGGCUGUUAAGAUAAAGAGAUGAACCAGGAUUAGAUACCCUGUUACACUUUAUUUAAAUUGUUAUUACCUGGGUACUAAACAGUUAUUAUCU